GGAAUUUUGCGCAAUGGGCGAAAGCCUGACGCAGCAACGCCGCGUGAUUGAAGAAGCCCUUCGGGGUGUAAAGAUCUGUCAGUGGGGACGAAAAAUGACGGUACCCACAGAGGAAGCAUCGGCUAACUCCGUGCCAGCAGCCGCGGUAAUACGGGGGAUGCAAGCGUUGUCCGGAAUCAUUGGGCGUAAAGAGUUCGUAGGUGGUUUGUUAAGUUAGGUGUUAAAUUCAAAGGCUUAACUUUUGUAUGGCACUUGAUACUGGCAGACUGGAAUGCGGUAGAGGUAAAGGGAAUUCCUGGUGUAGCGGUGAAAUGCUUAGAUAUCAGGAGGAACAUCGGUGGCGUAAGCGCUUUACUGGGCCGUAAUUGACACUGAGGAACGAAAGCCAGGGUAGCAAAUG
rnacentral:rRNA from 1 species